GACGAACGCUGGCGGCGUGCUUAACACAUGCAAGUCGAACGGAAAGGCCCUGCUUUUGUGGGGUGCUCGAGUGGCGAACGGGUGAGUAACACGUGAGUAACCUGCCCUUGACUUUGGGAUAACUUCAGGAAACUGGGGCUAAUACCGGAUAGGAGCUCCUGCUGCAUGGUGGGGGUUGGAAAGUUUCGGCGGUUGGGGAUGGACUCGCGGCUUAUCAGCUUGUUGGUGGGGUAGUGGCUUACCAAGGCUUUGACGGGUAGCCGGCCUGAGAGGGUGACCGGCCACACUGGGACUGAGAUGAGGCAGAGACUGCGACGGGAGGGAGAAGGGGGAAAUAUUGAAGAAGGGGCGGAAGCCUAAUGAAGAAACGCCGCGGGCGGGAUGACUGCCUUAGGGUUGUAAAACGAUUUCGCAUGUAACGAAGCGUGAGUGAAGGUAAUGGGUAAAGAAGGCCAGGCUAACUACGUG
rnacentral:rRNA from 1 species